rnacentral:rRNA from 1 species
UACGUAGGGCGCAAGCGUUGUCCGGAAUUAUUGGGCGUAAAGAGCUCGUAGGCGGCCUGUCGCGUCUGCUGUGAAAUCCCGGGGCUUAACCCCGGGCGUGCAGUGGAUACGGCCUGGCUGGAGGCAGGCAGGGGAGAACGGAAUUCCCGGUGUAGCGGUGAAAUGCGCAGAUAUCGGGAGGAACACCGGUGGCGAAGGCGGUUCUCUGGGCCUGUACUGACGCUGAGGAGCGAAAGCGUGGGGAGCGAACAGG